UUUCCGUAGGUGAACCUGCGGAAGGAUCAUUAAUGAGUAAUGGUCAUUCUGGCCCGUCCUUCAACCCUCUGUUUAAUUACUAUGUUGCUUUUGCGGUUCCUUUUCACGACCGCCGGAAGACUUCGGACUUCUCUCUCGUUCUCGCCAAUAUCCUUCUACAAAAUUCCGAAUAAAUGUUUUGUCAGCGGAACUAAUUUAAUAGUCAAAACUUUCAACAACGGAUCUUUGGGCUCUCGCACCGCUGAAGAACGUAGCAGAACGGUAGAGCAGACGUCAGAA
rnacentral:misc_RNA from 1 species